rnacentral:tRNA from 1 species
GAAGGUACAGCUCAGUGGUAGAGCGCGUGCUUAGCAUGCACAAGGUCCUGGGUUCAAUCCCCAGUGUCUCCA